CCUUAGUAACUUGCCUCCUCUCUCUUCUCGUCCUCAUCCAACUGGCUACUGUGGCGGCGACGCUCGGCCUCCCUCAGACGGCCUCCACCAGCGGCGCCUAGCCCUCUGACUCACCAGCUGCGCCCGACUCCCCUCGGCUUCCAGAGAUCUCUAGCCUCCACGAGCGGCGCCCGACCCUCUGAUUCCACUGGCGGCUCCCCUCGGCAUCCACUGGUGGUGCCCGGGUUUCUAGUAGUAGGAAGUGGCUAGAUGGAAUACAACUGGAAUGAUUCUAUAUAUGGGUAUGAUUCUACAUUUAGUAACUUUUUUUAGAAAUCGAAUUGAGGAUCGAGAAUAGCACCAAUGUAUAUCCAGAACAGCAGCAAUGUAAUUUUUAUUUUAUUUUCAGCUUUGAUGAUGAGCUCCCGCUUAGCUUAGCAAUGGUAUACAUCCUAGUGUUCACUCAGAUGUUGUUAUUGACUGGGAUGCACUACAAAUUGUUGAGAGCCAAGAUGAGGAAGGUAGGAUAUUAAUUGUUGACGACAUAAUGUAUGAGUUGAUCGGGUUGAGAGCUGAGGAUGAAACUGCUGAGAAGGCGGGUGAAGCUUUCAAGAGGCAGGGGAAUGGACCUAGUAGUGGUGUCAAUAGCAGUUAUUGUGAGAAUGAAACUGUUGAUGCAACCAUCCCUGUUGAUGAUGAAAUUCCAGAGGAGAGGGUGCUGCUGCAUGACCCAGACAAGCCUUGUAUAGAUAUUGGAAUAGUGUACCCCAGCAUGCGUAACUUCAGGCUAGCUGUGAGACAGUUUGCUAUCAAUGAAGAGUUCGAGCUAGAAAUCUAUAAAACUGACUGAGUCGAUUAUUGGUAAUUGCAAAGGAGAAGGUUGCUCUUGGCAUAUUGUGAGACGUAGGCAGCAAGCCGGGAAUACUGUUAUGGUGACAGUCUUAGUUGAGGAACACACUUGUACUUCCAGUGCUAGAAGGAAGACCACGAGUCCUACUAGCUCUUGGGUAGCAUCAAAGGCUGGUUUUUUCUCUGCACAGGUUGAGGACAUCACAAACACUCACAAUAGACAUGUAGUGAAGUCAUAUUUGCAUGAGUGUACAUGCCUCGAGUGGCAGCACACCGGCAAACCUUGCCCACAUGCAUUGGCCUUGAUUAUAACACAGGAGAGUGUGGAUGUGGAAUUGGAGGAUUUUGUGCAUGAAUACUACUCAGUCCAAAGGUUCAAAAAUGCAUACAAGAGAAUAAUUGAACCACUACCAGAUAGGUCUCAAUGGCCAUUAGUGGACCCGCCCUAUGUGGUUGGUGCACCACUUGACAAGAGAGGUAGAAGAAGGUACAAAAAACUAAGAAUUAAGAGUUGUUUGGAAGGUGGGAACAACAAAGGAAAAAAUGUAGCUAAAGAAAAAGGCAAGGAAGCUGACAAGGAUGCAGUCCUAGAGGCUGACAUGGAGGCUACAAGCCAAUCUGAGAAGGGGAAAAAAGGAUGAUCAGAGGCAAAAGAAGUGCAAAAGAUGUGGUGAAUUAGGUCACAGAGAAACUAGCUACAAGUGCCCUUUAAAUGGAACAAAGAAAAAGUAACCGAUGAAAUGUCUAAUUUGAACAUGUGCACUUUUAUAUUUGACUCUAAUUGUGGUGUCCAACAUGUAGGAAGAGAAAGCCUCGCAUGAAUAAAACAAAGUAUGGGGAGAAUGCCAAAAUCCCCAAAAGCCGACUUGAAGAAGGUGUCCAAAGUCAAGGUGUUAUCCAAGGUGAAGUUGUUGUCCAACUUGAAGAAAUUGUCCAAGAUCAUAGCGUUGUCCAAGGUGAAGUUGUUGUCCAAGGUGAAGAGGCUGUCUAAGUCGAAGUUUCGCUUCUGGUGCAAAGCCCAGCUAGACCAACAAGGGAGUAUAUUUUAUAGGACAACCCAAUCAGGGUGACUAGGAGUCGGCUUGCUAUGCUACUGGGAGAUGGACAGAUUGAUAAUCAGUCACCUCUCAAAAAUACAACUCCGAAGAAGAUGCUAGUGAAGAAGCUCACGCCAAGGAAGCUGAAGAGAAUGUGAAAAUAUUCUAAUAAGCUACUGUUUUAUGUGUUAUCCAAGAUUUUAGUAAGAUAGUAUUAGAAGUGAACCUUGUUAUGCUGUCAGAUGAACUAUAUUUAUUAUGACGUGUGAGUAGUGCUGUCAGCUUUUGGGAGUAGUGUGCUGUCAGAUGAACUACUACUUUGACCAAGAACUACUACUUGAUGGAGAUCGUAGUUAUUUUGAUGGAUAGCGUAGUGUGCUGUCAGAUGUACUGUUAUCUGAAAGAAAUGUUGAAUCUGUUAGUGUGCACAGGUUACCAGCUUGUGUUAUUGUGCACAGGUUAUCAGCAA